CCUACGGGUGGCAGCAGUGGGGAAUAUUGGGCAAUGGACGCAAGUCUGACCCAGCAACGCCGCGUGAAGGAAGAAGGCUUUCGGGUUGUAAACUUCUUUUAAGGGGGAAGAGGAGAAGACGGGACCCCUUGAAUAAGCCACGGCUAACUACGUGCCAGCAGCCGCGGUAAUACGUAGGUGGCAAGCGUUGUCCGGAUUUACUGGGUGGAAAGGGCGGGCAGCCGGGCUGACAAGUCAGAUGUGAAAUCCGUGGGCGUAACCCGCUAACUGCAUUUGAAACUAUUGGUCUUGAGUGCCGGAGAGGUAAUCGGAAUUCCUUGUGUAGCGGUGACAUGCGUAGAUAUCAGG
rnacentral:rRNA from 1 species